rnacentral:lncRNA from 10 species
AUGAACUGGCAUUCCUGCUGGCUCUGGCCUCUGGGACAGCACCUCCUCCAGCUCACUGCCCUCCACCCUUCCAGCUACAGCUCCCUCCGGUGCCCCAGAACCGCCCGGCACUCCGGGGCUCCCAGGUUCAUCUGGGCAUGACUCCGCCCUCCCGACAGAGCCCUCUGCACACCCCCUCCCCACCCUGGCCCAUCGCAGCUCUUCACGAAGACGCUUCAUGGAAUGGGUGAUUUUCCUAAGCACUUUUCUUUCCAUGAUCUCAUUUGGUCCUCACAGCACCUGGAGGAGGGCAGACAGGCUGUUGCUCCAUUUUACAGGUUUUCCAGACCAGGCUUUCUGAGAGGCUGUUAAUGAGCCAAACCAUUCUGCUAACCGUCGUUUUCAGAAGGGCCACCCGGCUCACGGUUCUCUUUAUUCAGGCAAAGCCAUCAAGACCCCGGUGA